GGUUAAGCGACUAAGCGUACACGGUGGAUGCCCUGGCAGUCAGAGGCGAUGAAGGACGUGCUAAUCUGCGAUAAGCGUCGGUAAGGUGAUAUGAACCGUUAUAACCGGCGAUUUCCGAAUGGGGAAACCCAGUGUGUUUCGACACACUAUCAUUAACUGAAUCCAUAGGUUAAUGAGGCGAACCGGGGGAACUGAAACAUCUAAGUACCCCGAGGAAAAGAAAUCAACCGAGAUUCCCCCAGUAGCGGCGAGCGAACGGGGAGGAGCCCAGAGCCUGAAUCAGUGUGUGUGUUAGUGGAAGCGUCUGGAAAGGCGCGCGAUACAGGGUGACAGCCCCGUACACAAAAAUGCACAUGCUGUGAGCUCGAUGAGUAGGGCGGGACACGUGGUAUCCUGUCUGAAUAUGGGGGGACCAUCCUCCAAGGCUAAAUACUCCUGACUGACCGAUAGUGAACCAGUACCGUGAGGGAAAGGCGAAAAGAACCCCGGCGAGGGGAGUGAAAAAGAACCUGAAACCGUGUACGUACAAGCAGUGGGAGCACGCUUAGGCGUGUGACUGCGUACCUUUUGUAUAAUGGGUCAGCGACUUAUAUUCUGUAGCAAGGUUAACCGAAUAGGGGAGCCGAAGGGAAACCGAGUCUUAACUGGGCGUUAAGUUGCAGGGUAUAGACCCGAAACCCGGUGAUCUAGCCAUGGGCAGGUUGAAGGUUGGGUAACACUAACUGGAGGACCGAACCGACUAAUGUUGAAAAAUUAGCGGAUGACUUGUGGCUGGGGGUGAAAGGCCAAUCAAACCGGGAGAUAGCUGGUUCUCCCCGAAAGCUAUUUAGGUAGCGCCUCGUGAAUUCAUCUCCGGGGGUAGAGCACUGUUUCGGCAAGGGGGUCAUCCCGACUUACCAACCCGAUGCAAACUGCGAAUACCGGAGAAUGUUAUCACGGGAGACACACGGCGGGUGCUAACGUCCGUCGUGAAGAGGGAAACAACCCAGACCGCCAGCUAAGGUCCCAAAGUCAUGGUUAAGUGGGAAACGAUGUGGGAAGGCCCAGACAGCCAGGAUGUUGGCUUAGAAGCAGCCAUCAUUUAAAGAAAGCGUAAUAGCUCACUGGUCGAGUCGGCCUGCGCGGAAGAUGUAACGGGGCUAAACCAUGCACCGAAGCUGCGGCAGCGACGCUGAUGCGUUGUUGGGUAGGGGAGCGUUCUGUAAGCCUGCGAAGGUGUGCUGUGAGGCAUGCUGGAGGUAUCAGAAGUGCGAAUGCUGACAUAAGUAACGAUAAAGCGGGUGAAAAGCCCGCUCGCCGGAAGACCAAGGGUUCCUGUCCAACGUUAAUCGGGGCAGGGUGAGUCGACCCCUAAGGCGAGGCCGAAAGGCGUAGUCGAUGGGAAACAGGUUAAUAUUCCUGUACUUGGUGUUACUGCGAAGGGGGGACGGAGAAGGCUAUGUUGGCCGGGCGACGGUUGUCCCGGUUUAAGCGUGUAGGCUGGUUUUCCAGGCAAAUCCGGAAAAUCAAGGCUGAGGCGUGAUGACGAGGCACUACGGUGCUGAAGCAACAAAUGCCCUGCUUCCAGGAAAAGCCUCUAAGCAUCAGGUAACAUCAAAUCGUACCCCAAACCGACACAGGUGGUCAGGUAGAGAAUACCAAGGCGCUUGAGAGAACUCGGGUGAAGGAACUAGGCAAAAUGGUGCCGUAACUUCGGGAGAAGGCACGCUGAUAUGUAGGUGAAGUCCCUUGCGGAUGGAGCUGAAAUCAGUCGAAGAUACCAGCUGGCUGCAACUGUUUAUUAAAAACACAGCACUGUGCAAACACGAAAGUGGACGUAUACGGUGUGACGCCUGCCCGGUGCCGGAAGGUUAAUUGAUGGGGUCAGCGCAAGCGAAGCUCUUGAUCGAAGCCCCGGUAAACGGCGGCCGUAACUAUAACGGUCCUAAGGUAGCGAAAUUCCUUGUCGGGUAAGUUCCGACCUGCACGAAUGGCGUAAUGAUGGCCAGGCUGUCUCCACCCGAGACUCAGUGAAAUUGAACUCGCUGUGAAGAUGCAGUGUACCCGCGGCAAGACGGAAAGACCCCGUGAACCUUUACUAUAGCUUGACACUGAACAUUGAGCCUUGAUGUGUAGGAUAGGUGGGAGGCUUGGAAGUGUGGACGCCAGUCUGCAUGGAGCCGACCUUGAAAUACCACCCUUUAAUGUUUGAUGUUCUAACGUUGACCCGUAAUCCGGGUUGCGGACAGUGUCUGGUGGGUAGUUUGACUGGGGCGGUCUCCUCCUAAAGAGUAACGGAGGAGCACGAAGGUUGGCUAAUCCUGGUCGGACAUCAGGAGGUUAGUGCAAUGGCAUAAGCCAGCUUGACUGCGAGCGUGACGGCGCGAGCAGGUGCGAAAGCAGGUCAUAGUGAUCCGGUGGUUCUGAAUGGAAGGGCCAUCGCUCAACGGAUAAAAGGUACUCCGGGGAUAACAGGCUGAUACCGCCCAAGAGUUCAUAUCGACGGCGGUGUUUGGCACCUCGAUGUCGGCUCAUCACAUCCUGGGGCUGAAGUAGGUCCCAAGGGUAUGGCUGUUCGCCAUUUAAAGUGGUACGCGAGCUGGGUUUAGAACGUCGUGAGACAGUUCGGUCCCUAUCUGCCGUGGGCGCUGGAGAACUGAGGGGGGCUGCUCCUAGUACGAGAGGACCGGAGUGGACGCAUCACUGGUGUUCGGGUUGUCAUGCCAAUGGCACUGCCCGGUAGCUAAAUGCGGAAGAGAUAAGUGCUGAAAGCAUCUAAGCACGAAACUUGCCCCGAGAUGAGUUCUCCCUGACCCUUUAAGGGUCCUGAAGGAACGUUGAAGACGACGACGUUGAUAGGCCGGGUGUGUAAGCGCAGCGAUGCGUUGAGCUAACCGGUACUAAUGAACCGUGAGGCUUAACCUU
rnacentral:rRNA from 1 species